GACAGAUGAGCCAAGCGUUGUCCGGAUUGACUGGGCGUAAAGCGUCCGCAGGCGGCUGGGCACGUGGGGUGUGAAACCGCUCGGCUUAACCGAGCGCCGCCACCUCAUACGGCCCGGCUCGAGCGCGGGAGAGGUCUGUGGAAUUGCCGGUGUAGUGGUGAAAUGCGUAGAGAUCGGCAGGAACACCAAGGGCGAAAGCAGCAGACUGGCCCGUGGCUGACGCUCAGGGACGAAAGCGUGGGGAGCGAACUGG
rnacentral:rRNA from 1 species